rnacentral:rRNA from 1 species
GAUGAACGCUGGCGGCGUGCCUAACACAUGCAAGUCGAACGUUAGGGUUUAGCAAUAGACCCAAAAGUGGCGAACGGGUGAGUAACACGUAGGUAACCUGCCGCGCAGAGGGGGAUAACGACUGGAAACGGUCGCUAAUACCGCAUGGUACGGGGAAGUGGGGACAUUUCCUCGUUAAAACUUUGGUGCUGCGCGAGGGGUCUGCGUCCGAUUAGUUAGUUGGUGAGGUAACGGCUCACCAAGACGAUGAUCGGUAGCUGGUCUGAGAGGAUGAUCAGUCACACGGGAACUGAGACACGGUCCCGACUCCUACGGGAGGCUG